rnacentral:rRNA from 1 species
UACGUAGGUGGCAAGCGUUGUCCGGAUUUAUUGGGUUUAAAGGGUGCGUAGGCGGUUCUGUAAGUCAGUGGUGAAAUACUCCAGCUUAACUGGAGGGGUGCCAAUGAUACUGCAGAACUUGAGUACAGAUGAGGUAGGCGGAAUUGACGGUGUAGCGGUGAAAUGCAUAGAUAUCGUCAAGAACACCUAUAGCGAAGGCAGCUUACUGGGCUGUAACUGACGCUGAGGCGCGAAAGCUAGGGGAGCAAACAGG